UACGUAUGGAGCAAGCGUUAUCCGGAUUUACUGGGUGUAAAGGGAGCGUAGACGGCAUGGCAAGUCUGAUGUGAAAGGUGCGGGCUCAACCCGCAAACCGCAUUGGAAACUGUCACGCUUGAGUGUCGGAGGGGUAAGUGGAAUUCCUAGUGUAGCGGUGAAAUGCGUAGAUAUUAGGAGGAACACCGGCGGCGAAGGCGGCUUACUGGACGACGACUGACGUUGAGGCUCGAAAGCGUGGGUAGCAAAC
rnacentral:rRNA from 1 species